GACGAACGCUGGCGGCGUGCUUAACACAUGCAAGUCGAACGGAAAGGCCCUGCUUUUGUGGGGUGCUCGAGUGGCGAACGGGUGCGUAACACGUGAGUAACCUGCCCUUGACUUUGGGAUAACUUCAGGAAACUGGGGCUACUACCGGAUAGGAGCUCCUGCUGCAUGGUGGGGGUUGGAAAGUUUCGGCGGUUGGGGAUGGACUCGCGGCUUAUCAGCUUGUUGGUGGGGUAGUGGCUUACCAAGGCUUUGACGGGUAGCCGGCCUGAGAGGGUGACCGGCCACAUGGGGACUGAGAUACGGACCAGACUCCUACGGGAGGCAGCAGUGGGGAAUAUUGCACAAUGGGCGGAAGUCUGAUGCAGCAACGCCGCGUGCGGGAUGACGGCCUUCGGGUUGUAAACCGCUUUCGCCUGUGACGAAGCGUGAGUGACGGUAAUGGGUAAAGAAGCACCGGCUAACUACGUG
rnacentral:rRNA from 1 species